ensembl:lncRNA
GCCAGGAGCUGGGCUAACAGCAUCUCCUCCAAAUACUUCCAAUGGGGCAAUUGGCAAACUGAGGCCAGAGAGGCAGGAACUGGCCUGAGGCCACGACGUGGGCCGAGUCCAGAGGAGCUGGGAAGAUUCCACUUCUAGCCCCAUGUGAAAAAUGGAUCCGCCCUGAACCUGGAUGAGUCCCUCAGGGUGAGGGAGGUCACAGCAGACCCCCUGGAGAAGCCGCUGGAGCACCUGGUGCCGCCUUCCGGGCCAGCGACCUCUCCUAUGUCACCAGCUUCCUGUACACCUACCGAGCCUUCACUCCUGCCCAGCAGGCCCUGGAGCUGCUGUUCAAGAGUGCCAUCUCCUCCAUCCUGGGCACCCGGCUGGACCAGUACUCAGAGGACUUCUGUCAGCCCCCCGACUUUCCCUGCCUCAGGCAGCUGGUGGCCUAUGUGCAGCUCAACAUGCCUGGCUCCUGGCCCAGCUGGAGCACGCGGCCCUCGGCGAGGCAGAGCCGGAGGGUCCAGCGUCACUUCCAGAAGCAGAGGUGGCUGCAACCCCCGUCUGUCGGAGGAGCCAUGUGCCGGAGCCGAGAGGUCCAGGCGGCCCCAGGGCCUGCGUCCGCCUUCAGCUCGAGCGCUCCCCCUACCGGCGGCUCCAGAGCGGCGCCGACACCAGCGCGGGUUCCAUUAGCACCUCCGGAGCAUGUCCAGCUCUUUGUGGCCUCGUGGACUGUAGCCCACCAGGCUCCUCCGUCCACGGGAUUCUCCAGGCAGGAAGAGUGGAGAGACGAAGAACACACACGUGCAACUCCAACAAGAGGCAACACGCACGGUCAGUACACGCCAGAGACGCACGACCUCCCCAAGAAGGACCCGAGAACGCAAGCGCGGAGACAGCGGUGCCACCGUCACACUGGGAUUCCAGUGACAAGCAGCCCUGGGGACAGUGUGCGGCCCAGCAGACCCCCUGGCGGGCAGUGCGGAAGGACACUCCUCUCUGGGAGAACCAUGUGUGGGACCCCAGAGCUCCACAGAUGCAUCCCUUUGCCUGCAGAGCGACUCCUAGGACCUCACCCACAGGAAACCUCACGUGAUUUUUUCAGAGAUGCAUUGUCAAGACUCUCCAUCAGUGCACUGGCUGAAAUAUCAGGGGACCGGAAACACUCAUGUCUGUGGAAAGGGAUGGGAUCCACCAGGCGUGGUCCUCAUGGACGAGAUCCCGGCUAUAAGACCACACGGACGUGAUGUCAACAGGGAGACUCAAACAGAGGUGAAUGAAUGCGUCUGUGAGAGGCAGAGAUAGAAGGAGAGAGGCAGCUGAGAGAUAAGCGUCAAACCACUUCACCAGGGUCAACACUGAGCGUGAUCAAUGUCUAGUCUUCUCCUUUACUUGAGCACAAUACAGUUGUGAUCACAGUGACACUGAGAUUUACAACUAAGGAACUCCAGCGUUGUGGUCUUACUCUGUGGUGAUGGUUGCCAAUUCUCCUCUUUCAUUUCUGAUUUUAUUGAUUCGAGCCCCCUCUCUUCUUCUUGAGUGUAGCUUAUGUUCGUUUUGUUUAACUUUUGUUAAACAAAUUUAAAGAACCAGCUGUUCGUUUCGCUGAUCUUUUCUGUUGGGUUUUUAUUUUCAUUUUGUUUAUUUUUCACUCUGAUCUUUGUUGUUUUCUUCCUUCUACAAACUCUGGGCUUCAUUUAUUCUUCUCUUUCUCAUUCCUUGACAUGUCGAGUGUUUAUCUGAGAUUUCUCUUGUUUCCUGAGGUAGACAUUUAUCACUAUGAACUUCCCUCUUUAGAACUGCUUUUGCUGCAGCCC